UACAGCGACUGCGAAUGGCUCAUUAUAUAAGUUAUCGUUUAUUUGAUAGUACCUUACUACUUGGAUAACCGUGGUAAUUCUAGAGCUAAUACAUGCUGAAAAUCCCGACUUCGGAAGGGAGGUAUUUAUUAGAUUAAAAACCAAUGCCCUCUGGGCUCCUUGGUGAUUCAUAAUAACUUUUCGAAUCGCACGGCCUUGCGCCGGCGAUGGUUCAUUCAAAUUUCUUCCCUAUCAACUUUCGAUGUUUGGGUAUUGGCCAAACAUGGUCGCAACGGGUAACGGAGGGUUAGGGCUCGACCCCGGAGAAGGAGCCUGAGAAACGGCUACUACAUCCAAGGAAGGCAGCAGGCGCGCAAAUUACCCAAUCCCGAUUCGGGGAGGUAGUGACAAUAAAUACUGAUACAGGGCUCUUUUGGGUCUUGUAAUUGGAAUGAGUACAAUUUAAAUCUCUUAACGAGGAACAAUUGGAGGGCAAGUCUGGUGCCAGCAGCCGCGGUAAUUCCAGCUCCAAUAGCGUAUAUUAAAGUUGUUGUGGUUAAAAAGCUCGUAGUUGAACCUUGGGCCUGGCUGGCCGGUCCGCCUCACCGCGUGUACUGGUCCGGCCGGGCCUUUCCCUCUGUGGAACCUCAUGCCCUUCACUGGGUGUGGCGGGGAAACAGGACUUUUACUUUGAAAAAAUUAGAGUGCUCCAGGCAGGCCUAUGCUCGAAUACAUUAGCAUGGAAUAAUAAAAUAGGACGCGUGGUUCUAUUUUGUUGGUUUCUAGGACCGCCGUAAUGAUUAAUAGGGACAGUCGGGGGCAUCAGUAUUCAAUUGUCAGAGGUGAAAUUCUUAGAUUUAUUGAAGACUAACUACUGCGAAAGCAUUUGCCAAGGAUGUUUUCAUUAAUCAGGAACGAAAGUUAGGGGAUCGAAGACGAUCAGAUACCGUCGUAGUCUUAACCAUAAACUAUGCCGACUAGGGAUCGGACGAUGUUAUUUUUUGACGCGUUCGGCACCUUACGAGAAAUCAAAGUGCUUGGGCUCCAGGGGAGUAUGGGUCGCAAGGCUGAAACUUAAAGAAUGACGAAGGCACUCACCAGGGGUGG
rnacentral:rRNA from 1 species